GGCCUAUCGCGCAAAACCUGUGUAAGGCGUCGGUCUCCUAAACCGAAGACUGCAGGUUCGAGUCCUGC
rnacentral:tRNA from 1 species